CAAAUGAGGCCCGGCCCGCGCGGCCGACAGGCCCCUCCAUCUUCCCAUUAGCGCCUAAUGGCCCCCCCGCCGCCGCCUGAUGAAGAUUUAUCGGCCCCGGAACCCCCGCCCCCGCCCCGGCCGCCCCGCGCCCGCGGCCGCCCCGCCCCCGCCGCGGACACCUGAUGAAGCCGUCACCCGGCGGGAGGGGCGGCCCGACCCGGCGAGGCCCGCAGACGGCGAGAGAAAGUUCUGAGAGCCCGAGGGAGCCCGGGCAACCCGGAGCCCCGACAGGCGGAAGAGCGAAUCGCGCCCCAUCCAUCAACAGGCUCGCAGCCUCCCUAAUAAAAACAUUUUACUCCUAAA